UUUUUUUUUUUUUUUUUUUGGGUUGUAGAUUACAAACAAUGGACGCAAGUCUCCCACAAUGACAAGUGGUAAAACACCUAAGACAUUAGCAAAAGUAAGGGAACGGUUUUUUUGUUUGGUUUGGUUUUUGUUUCUUGGUGAAAGAUAAGCACGGACUUAAUUGCGGCAAUGCCCAAGCCACGUUGCCCAGAAAAAGAGAAAAGGCAAUGCAAGCACUCUCCGGAUGUAAUUUGGUCAGCCGCGGACGUGCGCAGUCAGCACGUCCGCGUCUGACACAUGCUCAGUUUGAAGUCAGCCGCGGACGUGCCCAAUCAACACGUCUGCGCUGACACCUGUUGCUCCCUGAAUUUUUUGCAGACAAGUUUUUGUUGGAAUUUUUAAUUAUGCGGACGUGUCCAGUCAGCACGACCGCUAUAGAAUGAGAAACACUCCCUGUCAGAGGUAUAUUUGGCAGAUUGGUUUUUUUUUAACAUAUAAUCUAAGAAAUUAGCCGAGGGGGGACAUGAGCUAUUCUUCUUCUUCAAACAGAGUCGAAGACUACCUAUAGAUUAUGAUCUUGAAUUCCCUGUUCCUAAAUUUGCAACAUAUUCUGAUUGAAAAUAUGCAAAUUAGAAUGUGUUUGAAAUUCUAUUUGUACUAGGGUAUGGACAAUCCAAAAAUUGACACAUUUUUUCAUUUAAAUCUAGGAAAUGUUAAUUACACUCUACUUUUUGUUAAUCGCGCUCUUAUCAGUUGUACUGCCAUAUAUUCUAAUAUAUGAAAAUUAUAUGAUAAAAAUAAUAGUGCGAGUGCGAUUAACAACCAAAGGGAGGGCAGGCGCGGUGAAAUUAACAUUUCCCUUUAAAUCUUGAAUAAUUUCACCAGCUAAUGUGAUUUCCGAUAGGAUGUUGCAAUUGCAUUACACUUUGGCGUGCACGGUGGUGCGCUAACUUUCUGACUGACUAUUGUUUGCCCCUGAUUUAACAAGUGUUUGUAAUCUCCUCGUUUUGCAAUCAAUUUUCAGGAUGACAGAGACGUUGAAGAUUCUGGAAUUGACAGCUGAAUUGCACGAGAGAAAGGAAAAGAUCCCGCAGCUAUUCAACAACAGCUAGAUACGGUUUUGAAGGACAUGGAAGAGUAUUCAGAACAUCUUUCUGUCCAGAAACAUCGAUGAGGGUCAACUUGCCCCCAGCAGAUGACCAUCAUAUACGUAUUUCCUUUAUCUCGAUGCCUCUCCCCUCUCUUUUAAUUUGCAACAAUUUCCUUAGCGUGGUUGAUUUUUCAAAGUUUUGGGAUCCUUAAUUAGGGGUGGGCACGGGUCGGGUACCCGUCCCUAACAUGAUUUGGUUGACCCGACCCUAAUAUAUCGGAUCAGCCAUCCCUAAAAAAAAUUAUUUUCAAUAAAAAAAAUUAUUUUCUACUUAAUAUCAACAUGUUUUUCAAUAAAAAAACAUGCUUUUCCAAUUAAUAUUGGUAGAGAUAUUGUAAUUAAAGUCCAUACAUCACCAUUUUUACACAUUUCAUCCAAUAAUCAAAUCGAUCUCAUAAAUUUAGUACAUAUUAGAAUAUCUAAUGGACAAAACGAAGUUUCAUAAUAAUUUUGAGUACAUCACUAUUUUCACACAUUUCAUACUUCUACAACACAAUAAACACAAGGAUAAUAAGUAUUUGGUAACUUCCCCAAGGAUAUUAUGGUACAAGACCGCAUCUCAAAUAAGUCAAUUGUGAAAUCAAGUUCGGAAAAGAAUUGAAUAGAACUAAUUAUUUUUGAAAAAAAUAUAACCAAAAUAAUGUUAAAAAUCUUCCCCAACUUCUUUACAUCUUUGGAAUAGACCUUAUGGUAUUAAGGUGAUGAAAAAGAAAAAUAAAUUUCUUACACUAAAUAAAAGAGACAAAUUUAAGAGAUAUAAUUGCAAAUGAAUGACACAAAUAUUUUAAUUAUCUAGCUAACAGAAAUUUGAGACUCCAAACAAAAAUCUUUGAUUGAAUUGAUGCAAGAUUUGCAGGAAAGAUCGAUGGAAGUAGAAUAAAAAUAAAAAAGAUGAAAGGGAUGAACAAUUUUUAUAACAGAGUUUCACAAUUUUUUUUUUCAUUUUGUUCAUGCUUCACCGAGAAUAUUCACUUUCUUCAAAAAAAUGAGAAGAGUAGAUCAUAUAGGAUUAGAAUAUGAGGCUGCGAGCCACUUCACUUGCACUUAGGAUUAAAAAUUACAAAAUUAUAAAAUGAUCCCUACUUUUUUAAUAUUUAUAAAAUAUACCCUGCGGGUCGGGUACCCGCGGGUUUUUAUUUUUCUGAUCCGUAUCCGUACCCGAUUUUUCGGGUACCCGACUCUCAUCUGCCCCGCUAAGAAACAUCGGAUCGGGUAUCCUAUUUUUCGGAUCGUAUCGGAUCGGGUUCAUCGGGUUUUCGGAUCGACGAAUUUUUUUGCCCACCCCUACCCUUUAUCAAGUUGUAGGUUGAUAAAACCGCCAGUUAACCAUCUGAAAUGUUUGUAAUGACAAUCUUAGCAAUAGUUGCUGAUUUGGAACGUGGAUCACUUUCUUCAUGGUGUGUUUAACAGUAACUGCAGUGCGAAUUUGGGUACGGAGAGUUGAGACACCGCCUAGUAGAGGGAAUGAGGAAUGGAUUGGGUGGUAUCGAAUCGGGGCGUAAAUCUCUCAUUUACACUCUCUUUUGAUACCAAAUUCGAGAUCCUCCCGUUUACUUGAAAAAAAAAUGCAAAAGAUUUCAUACCAAAUAUAGUAUACUAGCUCGUAGAUUUCAUUAUCAGUAGCUGACAAGUCAUUACUAAAUGCUAAGGAAUAAAGAUAGGGUUAAUUAAGAAUAAUUUAUCCAUAAAAGUCUUCUAGAAAGCAAUUUUCAUUUAAAGCUCGGUUUAGAAUUGGUGGUUGGUAGGUGUAGGGUUAAUUAAGAAUAAUUUAUCCAUAAAAGUAUUCUAGAAAGCGAUUUUCAUUUAAAAGCUCGGUUUGGAAUUGGUGGUGGGUAGGUUUUAUUCUCGUUUUGCUUUUGAAUUUCACAAAAAGUUGAUUAUGAGAAGUGAUUAUGGAGAACAAUCAGAAUUAACAAAAGUCACUCUUUAAUAGAUUUUGAAUUUUAGCUUUUUGAUUAUUAAAAAAUCUAUAAUUUAAAGACAAAAAAUAAAUAAGAAUAUCAAUAAAAAUUAAUUAUUCAAAAUUAGAAUCAAUUAAAAUAAUAACCAGACCUAUAAUUAUUCGGAGGAUCAAUAAGUUACACGCAUCACCAUCUAUCAGUAUCAAAAACUAAUCAAUAAAGAAAGAGACGUUCUACUUGAAAAAAUUUGUCCAUAAUUUUUAGAACUGCCCGUCUCUCCUACGAGUAAUUGGUAACAUUUUUACCAAUAAUUGGUCGUUGGAUUAGUCAAUGACCAGUAAAAAAAAAAAAAAAAAAGGAAAAGCAAAAAGAAGAUAACAAGAGAUGUCAAGUGCUACACUGAUAUUAUUCAUUUUCCAAAAUCAGUAGUGGCGCUUUUGUCUUGUUCUUGACAUUUUCGGUGCACGUUUGAAUGUAAAGAUCCUUAAAGCGCACAUGGAUGGGCGGGAUCUGCAUGUCAUUGGCUGGAUCACCUAUUCUGACUCCUAAACUUUUACUAGUCACCACUGCUACGUACUAGUGACACUGUAGACUGUGGACCAUUUGUAACUCCUACCCAAUUUCGAUAGGACUAGGAGGUAUAAUCCGCGCGGUGCGCGGAGGUAUAGAAAAAGAGAAGAUGCCCAAGACAAACAUAUGAUAUGGAAGGAAAAUAUCGGAGGAGGAUAUAAAGCAAAAGGCAGAAAAAAGGAUGAAAGGCGUAUUAACUUGCUAAAUUGAUCAUUUUCUACAUCGGAAAUAUCAAGGCAUGAUAAGCCAAAUCUAUAAUAAUAAAGCAUCGAAUUUGCCACUACUCAUAUUAGACUUUGUUAGAGCUACUAAUGACCGACAAAGUUGCAGCAAAUCACUAACAUCUCACGGCAGCCUUUAAUUCAUAAAGAAGGAGCUAUAAAUAUUUGAUACAAGGUAGUCUCCUUACUCCUUUGUAGAUGGGCCUCUAUAUCUUUUUACUGGACGGUGCAAUGAUGUACUUUCCUCUUAUUUUCUGUUGAUUCUUGUCCACACAUUUUUUUGGUAUUUCCAUGCAGAUGAAGCCAAAAACACAUUACCAAGGAAUAUUUAGACAAAAAGUUUGGCUCCUUUGGUGUUUGCAAAUCAUAUUCAUCCCAAAGGAACUGCAAUGACUAAUUAUUAGUUAAAAAGAUAGAGAGGACAUCAAAGUAACCAAAGAAACUUUUCAAACAUUCACUACUAAAGCUUGAUGAGUGCAGCAAGUAGGUUAACAUCAAUUUUGUGGCUAAACACCCAUUAGCAAAGCCUGAAUUGCUAAACAAAUGCAAUAACUUGUUGAACAUUAAACUUCUAGUGCUUUGAAUGGAGAAAAACGAGUAAAAGCAAACCAAGUUGUUUUGUCUUGUUUCAUUUCUUGGUUUAAUGAAGUGCAGAAUAAAAAAAGUAAAUGAACAAAAAAACACAGUACAAAAUCUGCUAUGUGGAGCAACAUGAGACCCAUAUUACAAGACUUGUCAAUUUCACAAAGUUGAAACCUCUUGAAUUCAACGGGAACAUAGACAAAGAUAACAAGAAACCCUUUCAUUCAAAGGAAUCUAGGCUCUAAAUUCUUCAAUUUAUCCAUGUCUUCUCUAAAACCUGACGCAGCAUGCUCUUGCAAAUACACAUAAUGCUUAAAACUAUCAUUUUUCCCUUCAUUUGCCGAAGAAUAGGGCAAAAGAAACAGGGCUCAACACUUCCAAGCAGUUUUUUUAACAAAGGAAAAACUGUAAUGCAACCUCCCCAGCCAAAGUCAACUAUGGACAGUUCAUUUAUAUGGCUAUAGUUCAUUUAUUGCAAAAAACAGCCAAGAAUUUGGCAGUUACAAAUAAUCAUCCACAAAACAAAUUGUCAUAGAACGGAAAAGCAUCAUGUUCCAUAAAUAAUUAGAUACAUAUACAAAACGUAAGCCAUGUACAAACUGAAAUGGCAAUUGAGCCAUAUCAAUUAGCAACCUAGCUACUACAAAAGUUUCUGCAGUUAAGUUCUUUAACAAUGAUAGAUACAUAUUAGACAUUAACUAAAAACGUCUAAUAAAAUUGUUAUCUAGAAAAAGGCUAAAAAAAAAAUAAAAGAUUACAAUAAUCAAUUUAACAUUGAGCUGCAUUCCUAAUCAGAAAACAUGAAUGUGUCACACAGGCAGGACAACAGAUUCUUUCCUCUUAGCCGCCCAGCGACACGAUCACUCAAUUCAACGUUCUGUAGCAAAACUCAAAAGCAUAGUCAUAAACUGCAUAAGUAUGAACAAACAAUACAUUGCUAGUCUGCACACACUACUUAUUCACAGUCAAAAUCCAAACCCUUAGCUGUCUUACAAUAAUCAAUUUAACAGUAAGCCGCAUCCCUAAUCAAACCAGAUGAAUGCCUAACACAAGAUCACUUAGUCUAACAUUUUACAGCGAUAAAAACAGAGACAUAAACAUAACUACAUAAGUAUAAAUAAUCAAACAAAAUACAAAAUACAAAAACAAUCCUAAUAUACCUCAUGUUUAACUUCAUAAACAUGAAAACCAGCCAAGCUAAUCAAUCGCCCGGCUUAGCUGCAAAAAGCCAGAACAUUCACAAAGCCUAAAUCAGGAAAAAUCUCUUUUAGAGAAGAAAAUAACUGUUAGUCUGCCUAAAAAGGAUUAGUCCCACAAUACAAACCAUAAAAACCAUUAACUCAUUUCAUUUUUUCGUAAUCCAAAUUCUAUUCCUUCAAUAAAAGAAGAGAUACACACAGAAUUUGAGGUUUACACAAAAUCAACAGACAACAAGCACAAAAUUUCCUUCACACAUCACAAUCUCAAACACCAAAAGCAACUCAAAGCAAUGACAAAAUUUAACCGAUUACAAUAGUCACAAGUACAAAAUUUCUGAUGGAAUCCACUCAUUAACUGCAAAUGGCUGAUCCUUCAAGCCUCAGAACCACUAAGCACCAAAGCAAAACAUAACAAAAAAAAAAGAAAAAGACAGCCUCACAUGCACAGAAAUGAGAAGAGAUGAGGAAACCAAGCAAAAAAUGCAAAAUCACCCAAUUAAAGAAUCUCCCCGGGGAAAAAAUACAACCAACAAGUCUAGAUCAAAGCAACAAUUCAAAUAUUAAGCACAUAAUAAAAAUCCCCUCUGAGCAUAACUCAUUCCUGGAAAAAUGUCAAGACAAUUAAUCAACAUACAAUUUUUGGUACAGAAGGCUCGAAAAUUUCACAAAUCUUGAGGGAAAAUAUGUCCACCAUGGGAGAAUACCAAGAAAAUUAAUGGUGACUAAGUUUUACCUUUUAACUUUAGCUGCCAGAUUUUCGCUAAAGCUAAACACUCAAUGGAAUUGCUAUCAAAUAUACUGAAAUUCUUAACAAAAUAGCAGUUUGAUGUCUAAACUCCCUUUUUCAGGUUUUAAUCUAACUAAUGAAGUUAGUGAAGUUGCUCAAAUCAUAUGCCAAAAUCAUGAAUAUCCACAAACUUAGUAUCCAAACAUUUCUUGAUUAAAACAACUAACCAGUAAACCACAAAUCCAUUGUCAAAGGCUGAAAAAUUAGGAACAAGCUCUCUUAUUUAUUACAAUAGAAACCAUGGCAUAAAGCAAUACAAAAGAUAUUUUUUAGCAUAAAGCACCGAAAAAGGAUCCGUGGUUAAGUUUGUCAAUAGAAACCAAACUUUUUUAUUUUAUUUUGUCAUUCUCCUACAGACAACUUGUUAAGUUUAUUCAGGCCUUUAGUUUCAUUAAGGCCCAUAAAAAUUACACAUAAUACAUUGACAGGUAACCAUAUCACCAUACACGUAGACCAGAUAGUAUUAACCACAAAUCCUAACUUCAUGGUAUCUAAGAUUUGACAGUACCCUUUUUCAUUUUGGGGCAGGAAGAUGAUAGAUGAUAGAUGAAAGGUUGUGUCUUACUGUACCCUUAUGUUUAGAGUCCAUCAAUUCUUAGUGUAAUACGUAAUAAGAAAACGUAGUACGAAGAAUGAAGAAUGCAGUACGAAGGUAAAGGAACUGACCACAUGAGACAUGGAGUAAUUGGUUAGAUGGCAUGUUUGAACAUGGACCGCUAAAAGCUUUCUCGCAUCCAAAAUCUUGUUCGUCGAUAUUCCCUGCAGUAAAAUGUCCUCCAAUUGGUGCACUUUGGUGGUGUUAACAGAAUUGGCAGAAGGCUAGAACAUGAACUUACCUGUAAGUGUCACUUGUGAAUCCUCAGGUAUAUCUACUAUUAUUUCUAUACCUGUAGGCAUUACUGCAAGAACGGCCAAAACAGUUGUAAUUAAUCAAGACUGAACUAACUAAUUGGAAGACCAAAAAAGUGCAAAAAACUGAGGCUUGUUUAACACACACACACAUCUAAAGUGCUUUCGACCAACAACAUGACAAUAGGUAAUAGUGCCACAAAGCAGGAGUAAAAGGGAACUAAACUCGGUGUAUAAUCAGUGCAAUUGAGAAGUUUUGGCUCAAAAAAUGUUUUGUACUUGAUGCAAUUGUUAUGAUAAUAUGAAUACUAUUCUGUCAUCAUGGUGUUUGGACUAAAACAUGGAAAAGUGACCUUUUACAAUGCUAAGAACCAAACAACACAAGAAAAUCUCAGAAUAGGAACUUGAACUGCUCUUGAUUCGUGAUGCAGCAAUAGAAAAAUGAAACAGAAUUAUUCCCGAUGCCACAGAAAAGCUUACCCACAACAUCUUCUCAAUUGAAGGUGAGCAGAGAAAAUGACAAGCUCUUGCUUUCUCCUCAUUUAUACAUUGCUCAACCUAACGCACAGCUCAGCACCCAGAAAAGAAAACAAAAUAAAAGGAAGUCAAUAAAGAAUGACAAAUAUAGCAAAACUGAAAGACAGAGACAAAUAGAAUUUGCAAGAAAAACAAGAACAAAAAAAUUACCUGACGGAAGAAACUCCUAUCAGACCUCGCACGUAAAAGGAUCUGCAGAAAAGAGGAGCUUGUUAAAAAAAAAUAAAAAAAAAUAAAAAGAAGAGGGAAAUGGAGGAAAUAUUGAAAUACCAAUCUAAAGCAUAUAUCUUCAAGUGCUAGUACCCAACAUCCAAUUCUUGCAUCAAUAAAGUGGAAAUCUUUGAAACCCCACCUCACGGGCUCAUCCAAGCUACAGAAAUAAAAAAUCUAAAAAUUAAAAAGAAUAACAUAAUCCUCAUAAACAACAAAAUAGUAGUAGCAAUCAGAAAAGGGAAAAAAGCAACAAAAAAAAAAGAUCCGACAAGAACAGAUAGUGUACUCGUUGUCUAUUUUCAAAAAAAAAAUGCAAGAUCUGACAAGAAGAGACGGUAAGAUCUGACGAGAACAAGAAUGCACGAAAAAAAAUGUGGAAGAAAAUGAUGAUUAAAGGAACAGAGAGAGAGAAACGAGGACGGUGGAAAGAUCUGGAGAAGAGACGGCGGAAGAAAGAAGCGGCCGAGAGAUUCUUGUGUUUUAUGCGGCAAACCCUAAGCCGAGAAAGAAAAUGGACACACGAAGCGCAUCGCGCGAAAAAGAUGGGAUGAUCCACGUGCGCGGCACGUGUGAGGACGACGAAAACCAUUCCAGGUCAUCAGAGGCCUUCGGCUCUUUAUCUACUUAUGUUGAGAAGAAAAUGAAAGAAAAUAAUAGAGGCUUCCUUCAUUGGAGAGUUUGAGGGGGAGAGAAAACUGAAAAGGAAAGAAAUAGGCAAAUCUUUAAACUAACCUCCAACAACCCCUUUUUUCUUAUUUCUUAAUAAAAUUCCCAACUAGGCCUUAGAACUAAAAGUAGAAAAAAAAAACGAAAGAAAAAUAGAUUGGCAAAUGCGUCAAUUGUUCAACUAGUAUUAGUGUCUGUUUGAUAACAUAAAAAAGUGUUGAAAUUGAAUUCAUUCAGACAUUCAGAUGUCUUGGGUGUUUGAUAAAUAAAAAUUUUUCUGCUGAACUUAUUAAGUGGUGCUAAAUUUGUAUGUAUUUUUUUCAACACAAGAAUCGCAACUGAAUGCUUAAUUUGAUAAGAAUCAAAAGAUUUAUUUCAAUUACUUUAUCUUAUCUACCAAAUCUAUCCUUGUUUGUUAAUUACAUUCAAAAUCAUUAUCUAAUUAAACAAUCUAAUAUUUUCCAUCCAAAAUCCUUAUCUAUUAAACAACCUGACAUUCUUUGUCUAAUGGCUUUCUACUUCUAUUUUCUCCAUAUUUAAUGACUUUUUUUACAAUUUCUCCAUGCUACUCACAUCUGUCUAUUCCUUAUUUUUUUCCAUCUUUCUACUCUUUCAUAAUUUUGUCAUUUUUUCCUUCCAAUUUUUUUUAUUGCUACCGUACUCACCGAUCUCAAAUUCAUUAUUUCCAAGGUAGCGUUAACAUUUUUCCAUUGAAGUAAUUAAAUUUCUAUAUAAUUUGGUGUGAAUUUAAAACUUGUUUAUUGCAGCUUCCUUUUGCUUAUAUUUGGACUUUUCUUGUCAAAUUCUGAUUUAAAAAUAUAUUUGCACCGAUAUUUGGACUUUUCCAUAAUAUAUUUUUUCUUUUAUAUUACUUUGAUUUAAAAAUAAAUAUUGUCAUUUUCAUACCUAACAAUUUUAAGCUAAUUAAAACAUAGGUUCUAUUUCCUUUUUGGAUUAAAAGAUAGAAGGACAAAAUUGUACAAUUUAGCUUAUUAAGCAUUAAGUUAUAAAUAUUUAUCAAAUAGUAUAAAUAUGUUCAGCAUUAAGAUUCAGAUAUUCAUAUAUCUCUUUUCAGUGCUUAAUAUUUAGCAAAUUAAUUGUUUCAGUAUUCAGAAUUCAGAUUCAGUUUUAUCAAAUGGAGCCUUAGUCUAUUAGAUUAAACCUUUAUCCAUUCUAUUCCGCCACGAAUCUCCCUAACCACAUCAGAGAAAAAGUAUAGGCUUCGUUUGAAUUUUUCAUUUUUUUAAAAAACAAGUUUUUUAUUUACAAUAAUACAGUUAUAUACAAAAAAAAAUUAUUCGAAAAAUAUCACAUUCAUACAAUAUAUUAAAAGUAAUUCUAAAUAUAUAAAAAAAUUAAAAAAUUAAAAUUUACACUAUUUUCUUCUUCCCAUCUAUCACCACCAUCGACUAUCACUACUAUCACCAUCCUCUCUUUCCUCCUCCUCCCUUUCUAUUCUCGCCCCCUCUUUCUCCUUCCUCUCUUUCCUCUUCCCCUACCUUUUCUCUCCCUUUCCCAUCACAUCCACUAUUUUCCUUCCCAAUCUAGCUACGACCAGGUUGCAACCAGAUGCCUCGAUUUGGUCCAAACUAAAUUAAGGAAGGGGAGGAGAUGUGCAGGAAAGGGGAAGGGGAGGACGAAGGAGGAGGGAGAAAAAGAAAGAUAGGGAAGAAGAAGAGGGAGGUGGUGGUGGUUACGAUGGGUGGGUGGUAGUAUUAAACUUUUUUUAAAAUAUUCUAAAAGUUUUUGAACUUUAAAAAUAUUUCAAAUUACAUCUCAAAAACACCUUAAAAAUCAUCACUAAAAACAUUCAAGAUAAAAGUUCUUUAUAUAUAUUGUUAUAAUAAAAUAUUUCAAAACAUUCUAAAAAACAACUAAUCCAAACUAUUUCCUCUUAACUCGGGGUUUUAUGACUUGCCCAUCUUUUUCUUGUCUUUCCCAACGCCCAAUCUAUGUGCCUAAGUGUGAAAGGAAGAAAAAGAUCUUACAAGCAACAGCCUGUUGCUGGCUGUUAUCAAUUAAUAAUAAUUAUCCACAGUAGCGGAAUCAAAUACUAACUCUACUAAUCGGGGCGAGAGGAAGAUGGACUAAAUGACACGAAGGAGGGAGUAUAAUUAAGAGUUUUUGGAUUGAAUAUCUCCCACUUACACUGAAAAGGAAAGGCCGUGAUACGGUGAAAGAAGCUGUAGAUCUCUCGCUGGAAAAAUGAAAAAAACAUAAAGUUUGAUCCAUUCUUAAAAGCGUGAAAUAUUUUUAGGCUUCCAGCACAAACGCUCCUCUUCUUCUCGUCACUGACCUGUCAACCCUUUCUAUUAAAUCUCCAUAUCUCAACCCAAUUUCUACUAGACCUGUUAAAACUCAACCCAACCCUCGAUAUUGCCGUUGCCGAGGCCGACGGUAUUCUUUUCUCCCUUUCUUUCUUGCAUGUAUUUAUUGUUAAGACUAUGUGCACAUAUUUAGAUGACUGGCGAAGGAACUUCUUGUUUCGCUCAGCUACUGACACUAACUGGUAUUAGUCUACUGUUGUGACAAUUGCAGAUUAUUUCUGAAAGCAUUUGUUGAUUUGGGAAAGUAAAACAGAAGAUGGCAAAUGUGGGAGAAGUUGAACACCCAUAUGUUCCAAGGGAUUUGAAGUUGCCUGGUUUUGUACCUGCGUUCCUCCCCCCUUCCACUAUUGUUGGUGCUUAUCUGCUUGCUUCCCUACUCGCUGUGUCCAUUGUCUGGAUCGGUUCUGGUAAUUGAUUGUUCUCUCACCAGUCGCCGUUGCUAUCUUUUUUAGUAGUAUCUCAUAUAUAGUUGUUCUACUUCUUCCAUUAGUUGAUUGUAUUCUUGUCUGCCUUGUAUUGCUUGUUAUAUUCGGGCAGUAAGGAAAAUCGGAAGUGAAGAUCAGUUAGCAACUUAUGAUAAUCCGAAUCUGAAGCAUCUAAACGAUUCAAAAUGAGUACUAAAUCCAUCUCCCCUUGUAUUGGGUUAUUCUGUUUUUGUUUUUUUCGUCUGCUUUGUCAAGCAUACUUGUUGACUGGUAAUUAAAAUUGCUGAAGUGACUUAAUUUGCUGAAAACAUGUGACAAGUUCUUUUCUAGAAGUCAAAGUUCAAAACUUUGAUAAGUUGAUGCAGUCUUUUACAUUCCUUCAUAUAUUUCUUGUUGCUGCAAGCCCACCAGUAGAAUUUAUGUGAGAUCUCUGUAGGUUAGGAUGUAGAAAUGUGGUCAUGUUGAUAAGAGGUUGCUUGCCUGGGUAGUCCAACAAUGAAAAGUCUUGCUUGUUCCAAUCUAAUGCAGUUAAUCUGUUUGCCACACAAUAUUUAUUUAUCUGAGAUCCUGAAUUAUAUCAUAAUUCAUAUGGUAAAUGAAUUGUUUUAAUCUCUUCGUGGGAGCCUUAAGGUGAAUCAAUGUAAAUUCACUCUCAACAAUGUCUUAUAUAUGUUAAUUGUGAGCAGGGACACAUUGACAUAAGUUCACCUACAGCAACAGUAUGUGCUCCCUUGCAAAGACUUUUUGGGGUUUGCAUAGCUCCCAACUAUCCUUGAAUGUAUUGGACUUCGCCUGAGUGGUCCAUAAUGUGACUUAGUAAAUGAAUUACUUGAAAUUCAUUUGAGAUUGGAAUUCUGAGAUUGAAACCAUCAUUGAAUGUAUGGGGUUUGCCUGAUUUGUCUAUAGUAUAACUCAAUUAUGAAUGAUUAAGAACUCACUUGAGACUGGAGUUCUGAAACUAAGCAAAAUAAUCACUAAUCCCCUUGUUUUUCACUUGAUUCUUUACAGCACGACUUACAUCACAGGUCAUAAGCCGUUACCCAGAUCUUUGCCUUUAUUAUCUAUACCUGUAUUGAAUAAAUUGUGAUUGCUUGAUUGAUGUCUGGAUAAUAAUCAAAUACUCUCCUCAAAUCUGAUUUUUUAAAUUGUUAUGAUUUCAUUCAACAAGUAGUUGAACCAUUUAAUCAUCUUUGCCUAAUUGCAAUUUCCUAUACAAGUCAAAGGUUUAGUUAUUUAUGUACUGUGUUGACCAUAGAGUAGGAAAUUGUUGGAUCACAUCCAUAUUGGGCUUUCUUGUUUUAGGAUUCUGCUUAUAAGGAGGUUUUUACAUCUAACUCCUAGCUAUCCUUUGCCAACGUGGAAAUUCAUUGAUCAUUGCUUUAAUAUUUUACCAUCCUCAAUUAAUGGUAGGACGGAUCCACAAGAUAUCAAAGCUUGAUAGAAUACUCAUGUGCUGGUGGAUCUUCACGGGGCUAACCCACAUGGUCCUUGAAGGUUAUUUUGUAUUUACUCCAGACUUUUACAAGAAGACAACCCCAGUUUACCUUGCUGAAGUCUGUAAGUUUUUAGCUUAAUCUGUUAUUCAAAUCGGAAUCCUUUCUUUGAGAUUGUAAGAGAGUAAUUGCUUUAAAAUGGAAAAUGGCAGGGAAGGAGUAUAGCAAAGGUGAUUCAAGAUAUGCUGCGCGUGACUCUGGAGUUGUUUCUAUUGAAGGAGUUACCGCAGUAUUAGAGGGUCCCUUUUGUCUUCUCACCCUGUAUGUAUGCUUGGGUUCACUUAGUAUCAUCCAAGAGGAUACAAUCAUUAGUCUAUAUUUCUAAAUUUUUUUAUUUUGUGCUUACGAAAAUCUCAUCUUCACGAAUGCUCUAUAUUUUCCAGCAUAACAUUGUGGUUUAAUUUUGGCAGGUUUGCUAUAGCUGCAAAAAAGUCAUACAGGUAUGUGAUUCAGCUGGCCAUUUCUUUGGGGCAGCUGUAUGGCACCAUUGUAUAUUUCUUGACAUCCUACUUGGAUGGGGAUAAUUUUGCUGCAAGCUGGUUUUACUAUUAUGCAUACUACGUCCUUGCAAAUGCCUUUUGGGUUUUAAUCCCAACAGCAAUAUCGGUCCACUGUUGGAAGAGGAUAUGUGAAGCAAUCAAGGAUCAGGACCUGAAAAAGACCAAAACCAGCUAAGGUUGGAAUAACAAUUUUCAACUCAAAGCAUCUAGAUCUUGAACCAUCUUUAAUCGAUUCUAUUUGAGAUGGACAUUCAAUGACAUCUUCAUGAAGGAUAUUUGCAAAAAAUGACAGAAAAAAUUGAAUGAAGUUGACAGUAUCUGUAAUGCAUUCAGUUUAUGAAAGCCAUUUGAUGGGUUCAGUUAUCACUGGCUAAUUUGUUUCUUCGUUCUCUUGUUUCUUUCUGUAACUUAUGAGUGUCUUGGUUAAUGGGCCUCGUAAAAGUCUUGGCAUUGGUUUUGUCAUUGGUUAAAUAGGCAGAACUUCAUCAUCUGUGAUUUACGCUUGAUUUGGUAGGAAACUAUUUGUGGAAGCCGAAUAUUUUGCACUUAACCAACACUCUAGUCUGAGCAACUGUUCUCUGGGAUUCAUGUUUAGAAGGGUAUAGUACUGCAAGCCCUUCAGCUUUUUGUACUCGCUAUUAUUACCAUACGUACCAAUGAAGUACCUGAUCCAGAUAUCAUUCUUGUAUUGCCUUCCAGUUUUAUCCUUCUGGUAAUUAGGAGGAUAAAAAAUGGAUGAAUCAUAUUUAUACAUUGAGGUGAAUGCCCGACAAUUUAUUUAAAUUUAAAUUUAAAAUUCAAAAUUUACUUAUAUAUUAUACAUCUAAUCCUCUUAUAAUAUACAUUAUCAAUGUAUAUAAAAUUAAAUUAUAAAAAAUCGGUUUCUCACUCUCAAAGACGUGUACCAGAACAGCAGGAAAAAGGAAUAUCAUACUUAGUGUGAUAUUUGGAAUUUGAUUAAAAAUAAUCACAAAAAAAAAUGCCGAGUCUCUUGAAUUCUUCAUAGGUUCCAUGAAGCUAAACAGUAAAUUCACGCUACGCAGUGUGAUUUUACAGUUUGACGAACGACAUUUAUUUCAAUACUACCAAAAAAAAAAAAAGAGCAACAGACACUUAACUCAGUAAGUACUAAACAAGUUACACAUCUUCCUAAUCCAGAGCUCUUAUUUCUGAACAAAAAAACAAACGGACAGACAUAUCAGGAGCUGCUAUUGGUGAUGGCAUCAGCAUCAACUUUACUGUGCGUUCUGCUGUUGACAUAGGUGCAAGAAUUUGUGCAUUACACCAAAUGCAUAGCCUAUGCGAUGCUUACACGUACAUCUGCUAUGGCAAGAGUGUUUCACCAGCUUAAUCUGGAUGACAUGAAUGAUAGAAAUUAACUAGCUCCCAAAGCCUGAAGCCCAGAACCGUCUACUCAAUAGUUGGCUUCCAUCCUUGAAUCUCUUGGUAUAUAUUAGCAUCCACCUUCAUUGUCUUGUCCACUAGGCGUUGAGAAGAGGUACCAACUUUGAAAACCAUAAUCCAUCAACGUCUAGGCAGCUCAGUCUUGUGGUUGCACUCCUCUUGGUCGUCAAGGCUGCAUUGGUGAUGCUUGGCAAAUGAUACGAACACAAAUACAUCAAUAGUGAAGAAUGAAUUUACUCUGAAAUGCUUACCUAGUGGUUUCACUUUCUUUCCUUCCCUGCAACCAAUCACUUGGAGGAUUAUACAUAGUUUCCCCCACAUCCAUAACAAUAACAGAUCCUGCAAGGGCACGUAUACCAAAGGAGAAAAAGUGACAGUGAAAUAAGACUUAAUUUGCUGUUUCUGAUAUCUCCCUGUCAGUUCUACCGAUUCAGUUAAACCCACCAAAGGGCUAACAAACUCACCAAUUCACCGUUCUAAUCUGCAGAGACAUACUAGAGAGUAGUCACAAGGCAAUCUACUACACCACAAGAAGACAAUUUCCAUCCAUCACUUCAAGUCGCCCAUUUAAGAUGCCUUUCAGCCUUCAAAAGAUUUACACUCGGGCCAAAACGGAAAGCCCAAAGCAUGACAAGAAUAUCAAAAAAUCAUGCCAGAGUAUAAUAUUAGUUGUUGCAUGAUAUUUAGUAAAUUUGGGUUUGAAAAGAGUACUGCUCCAAGAAAAUACAAGAAUCAAUUGCCAACAAACAAGAAAAUACUAUUGAAGGAAAAAACUUUAACGUAAAUAUACAAGUCGCAACACCCCCAAUCCCUCAAAGAAAACAAGAAACAUGAAUGAAUUUAUAUGCUAACCAGAGGAGGAUUUGCAAAAGAUUACACAAUGCAGAAAUGUCAUUGCUCAAACAAGCGCUAUGACUGCAAAUAAAGCAGAAAACCAGAUACAAAAAUGCCCCCAAAUCCCCCUUAUUUUACGUAUGUAUUUAAGCGGGUUGUAUAAGAAGAGAGGAAGAAUGAAAUGGAAAAGUUUUCUUGGUUAGCAAUACUUGCU
rnacentral:lncRNA from 1 species